rnacentral:rRNA from 1 species
GAUGAACGCUGGCGGCGUGCCUAAUACAUGCAAGUCGAGCGAAGCGGGGACGGGUGAGUAACACGUAGGUAACCUCCUCUAAGACUGGGGUAACUUCGGGAAACCGGAGCUAAACCCGAUAAUUAUCGCUGGAUGCACGAUGCAUUAGCUAGUUGGUAAGGUAACGGCUUACCAAGGCAACGAUGCUUAGCCGACCUGAGAGGGUGAUCGGCCACACUGGAACUGAGACACGGUCCAGACUCCUACGGGAGGCAGCAGUAGGGAAUCUUCCGCAAUGGGCGAAAGCCUGACGGAGCAACGCCGCGUGAGUGAUGAAGGCCUUCGGAUCGUAAAACUCUGUUAGUAGGGAAGCGGUACCUAAUCAGAAAGCCACGGCUAACUACGUGCCAGCAGCCGCGGUAAUUC